rnacentral:lncRNA from 1 species
GCCUAGGAGAAGCUGGGAAGUGCUUUCGUUAAGUGAAAAGGGAAGAAGGAGAGAGAAAAAAACCAGUGCCUAGUGAUGACGCCAAGUCAAGGUAAAACCUGGCCAAGGGUGGACCUGGCUCCAGUGUCUCUUCCAGUUCUCCUUCACCCUGGGGAUUACUCAUUUAUCUCUAUGAAUGCAGAUUUAUGGACCUAUAAAUGAAUAUAUGUGUUAG